rnacentral:lncRNA from 1 species
UCAAGAAGCAUACCUAAUCUUGCCUGACCUUGCUGCUUAAUUUUUACAUCUAAUAAAAAGAAGACAGGAUGAUAGGGAAACUUCAUUAAUAACACAGUAUAGUGGUUGCAGUUAAGCUAAGAUCCCACCAACCCACUUUCUCACCCACAGAUAACGUAUGGAACGUAGACUGAAAGAGUUAACAACAUCAACUCAGAUCGCAAGUCUCAAAAUGCAUUCAUAAUGCCAGAACCAGGAGGUUAAUUAAUUACAUCUUGACAUGGAAUAAUAUCAGUAAGGAAAACCGACCAGCCUUACAUUCUCAUAAUUUUGCUUUGAUCAAAGGACAUCCAUGCAAGUUACCUGAGAUCAGCUCUUGAAGGAGGCCUUAAAUUUCAAGACAAAUCCAAGCACCAACAGAAUAGUCAUGAUCCCAAAUGAAGAGCCUCCCACUCUGUGUAUCCAGUAUGGGUCGAACCUGGUGAACCUCCGGUCCAGGAAACAUGUGAAAUUGAUGACCACAAUCAGCACUAAGAGCACAAAAGGCAGACACAUGACCAAACUCCCAUACCCCACAUCAUCUUCAGGCUCGACAGGGGGCUUUCGAUCGAUGUAUAAUGGUGAAAGCACAGCCAGAAGCCCUAAGGCAAUGGCAGCUAACUUCUCAGUGUAGGUAGUCCUUCCCAUGCAGCUCUCUUGAGGGUAAUCAGACCCUUUCUUCUCCUUGAGCUUUUAUCCCAUUAGACAAAGCAAGCUUUAGACAUCUGAGGCCAACCUUUUGAUAUUUUUAUCACUAAGUACCCUUAAAUACUGUUGGUGGUUUGUAUGACAUCUUAUCAUGCCCUAGGUUAUUUAGGUAAUUCUUUAGAAAGAAUCUUUCUCAGGUCUUGAUUAUAUAGCCAAGCAGAGAAUAAGAUAUGUAAUAAAGAGGUAGUUAUUCUGCAUGAGCCAAACAGUUAGUGUUCGAUGGAAUCAGAUGCUUAAACUACUGAAAAAUAAACAAGGUCAUAAAAUUCCCGAGAAACUAGUAGUCUAAUGGCAGAGUCUGAUCAGAGAUUUUACUUUAAAGGAUGCAACCCAUGUCUAUUUGCAAUAUUUGACAAAUUAAAGCAUGCAAUGAAAUAAAUGAUCAUAAGUAUCCAAUUCAGAGCAAUACACAGCCUCUUAUGAAUUCACCUAGUGAAGUGUUCGCUUGCCAACAGGGGUCAGUAGUUCCUUCCAUUAAUGGUCAAAACAUCAUGGAUAAUGUAUUUUGUCUCGCCUAUAAUCAUAGUAGAACAUGGAAAGAAAAUAAUGUAAAACAUUUGCAUUUUCUGUUGAAUUACAUAAACCCUCACCUAGCAAUGGGUAACACUGCAAGGCAUAGGGAAAAGGCCUACUCACCUAGCAAGUGUGAUAAGUGCUUGAGCAUGGAACAAGCAUCUCUUUGCUUUCUGCUGUUGUUUCUUUGGAG